rnacentral:rRNA from 1 species
GAAUGCCAUCACUAGCGGAGGAUGCCCCCGGGCGGGCCUAGACUCCCACCCGUGAAUACCUGACCAACGUUGCUUCGGCGGUGCGCCCCCCCGGGGGUAGCCGCCGGAGACCACAUUGAACCUCUUGUCUUUAGUGUUGUCUGAGCUUGAUAGCAAACCUAUUAAAACUUUCAACAAUGGAUCUCUUGGUUCCGGCAUCGAUGAAGAACGCAGCGAACUGCGAUAAGUAAUGUGAAUUGCAGAAUUCAGUGAAUCAUCGAGUCUUUGAACGCACAUUGCGCCCCCUGGCAUUCCGGGGGGCAUGCCUGUCCGAGCGUCAUUGCUGCCCUUCAAGCCCGGCUUGUGUGUUGGGUCGUCGUCCCCCCUGGGGGACGGGCCCGAAAGGCAGCGGCGGCACCGCGUCCGGUCCUCAGCGUAUGGGGCUUUGUCACCCGCAGAAUUAGGGCGGCCGGGCCCCACCGGCCCCCACCUUUAUUUUACAACACGACCCGGAACCGGAAGGAAACCCGCUAAUUAUUAAACCAGAGAA